UACGAACCGUGCGAACGUUGUUCGGAAUCACUGGGCGUAAAGGGCGCGUAGGCGGGCUGCCAAGUCCGUGGUGAAAUCCCCCGGCUCAACCGGGGAAUGGCCUCGGAUACUGGCGGUCUUGAGGGAGGUAGGGGCGUGCGGAACUGUAGGUGGAGCGGUGAAAUGCGUUGAUAUCUGCAGGAACUCCGGUGGCGAAGGCGGCACGCUGGACCUCUUCUGACGCUGAGGCGCGAAAGCCAGGGGAGCGAACGGG
rnacentral:rRNA from 1 species